rnacentral:rRNA from 1 species
UGGGGAAUAUUGGACAAUGGGCGAAAGCCUGAUCCAGCCAUGCCGCGUGUGCGAAGAAGGUCUUCGGAUUGUAAAGCACUUUAAGUUGGGAGGAAGGGCAGUAACCUAAUACGUUUCUGUCUUGAUGUUACCGACAGAAUAAGCACCGGCUAACUCUGUGCCAGCAGCCGCGGUAAUACAGAGGGUUCAAGCGUUAAUCGGAAUUACUGGGCGUAAAGCGCGCGUAGGUGGUUUGUUAAGUUGGAUGUGAAAGCCCCGGGCUCAACCUGGGAACUGCAUCCAAAACUGGCAAGCUAGAGUACGGUAGAGGGUGGUGGAAUUUCCUGUGUAGCGGUGAAAUGCGUAGAUAUAGGAAGGAACACCAGUGGCGAAGGCGACCACCUGGACUGAUACUGACACUGAGGUGCGAAAGCGUGGGGAGCAAACAGGAUUAGAUACCCACGUAGUCCCUGAGCGGGCUGGCAAGGCGCAU